rnacentral:tRNA from 1 species
AGGGCUGUGGCUCGGUGGCAAAGCAUCUGCCUUGCAUGCGCAAGGUCCCCGGUUCAAUCCCCAGCGUCUCUG